GUUGGUAAAGAUGCUAUCUCAUCUCUUUCCUAUUUUAAUCACUAUUAUUGCCGAAUCUUUGGACCCUCCCACUCCAUCAGACAUUGAAACAAGCCACACUCAAUUCAGUAUGACUCUACCACCACUCACUCCUACAUCAACAUUCUGCUCCUAAAGCUUCUCAUUCACUCAUUCUUUCACAAGGGAAACAACUCUCUGCAGGGAUCGGAGUACAAGAAGCAGACAGAUCCUCAGAAGGAUUUUACAUUUGAUCAGGCAUAACAGUCAUAUUGAAGAAUUCAGCAAUUUCAGAUGGAUUAGUGAUCUUCUUUUCUUUCAUGUAGUGUUGACACAGAAACUUGUGAAAUUAAAAUAUGAGCAGAAAAGGUCUCACAUUCUCAACUUGUCCACUUUCAGCAAGUAAAGGUUGAACUACAGGCUGAUGCUAAAAAUAAAAGUUGUUUAUCC